rnacentral:rRNA from 1 species
AAUAAGGAUUGACAGAUUGAGAGCUCUUUCUUGAUUUUGUGGGUGGUGGUGCAUGGCCGUUCUUAGUUGGUGGAGUGAUUUGUCUGCUUAAUUGCGAUAACGAACGAGACCUUAACCUGCUAAAUAGCCCGGCUCGCUUUGGCGGGUCGCCGGCUUCUUAGAGGGACUAUCGGCUCAAGCCGAUGGAAGUUUGAGGCAAUAACAGGUCUGUGAUGCCCUUAGAUGUUCUGGGCCGCACGCGCGCUACACUGACAGAGCCAACGAGUUCAUCACCUUGUCCGAAAGGUCUGGGUAAUCUUGUUAAACUCUGUCGUGCUGGGGAUAUAGCAUUGCAAUUAUUGCUCUUCAACGAGGAAUGCCUACUAAGCGCAUGUCAUCAGCAUGCGUUGAUUACGUCCCUGCCCUUUGUACACACCGCCCGUCGCUACAACCGAUUGAAUGGCUNAGUGAGGCCUNCGGACUGGCCCAGGGAGGUCGGCAACGACCACCCAGGGCCGGAAAGUUGGUCAAACUNGGUCAUUUAGAGGAUGUAAAAGUCGUAGCAAGGUUUCCGUAGGUGAACCUGCGGAAGGAUCAUUA